rnacentral:rRNA from 1 species
AACGAACGCUGGCGGCAGGCCUAACACAUGCAAAUCGAGCGCGCCCUUCGGGGUGAGCGGCGGACGGGUGAGUAACGCGUGGGAACGUGCCCUUCUCUGCGGAAUAGCCUCGGGAAACUGAGAGUAAUACCGCAUACGCCCUUUGGGGGAAAGAUUUAUCGGAGGAGGAUCGGCCCGCGUUGGAUUAGGUAGUUGGUGGGGUAAUGGCUCACCAAGGCGACGAUCCAUAGCUGGUUUGAGAGGAUGAUCAGCCACACUGGGACUGAGACACGGCCCAGACUCCUACGGGAGGCAGCAGUGGGGAAUCUUAGACAAUGGGGGCAACCCUGAUCUAGCCAUGCCGCGUGAGUGAUGAAGGCCUUAGGGUUGUAAAGCUCUUUCAGCUGGGAAGAUAAUGACGGUACCAGCAGAAGAAGCCCCGGCUAACUCCGUGCCAGCCGCCGCGGUAA